rnacentral:lncRNA from 1 species
UGGCUGAGGACGAUUCCCUGAGCCUUGACAAAGCAGGAGCCCUCCGUGGCGGUGCGUCGGUGUCGAGGCUCCAGUCUGACUAAUCCAGGGGGUCGACAAAACAGAUUCGGGACACUAUGCUACACGGAGGGCCUACCAGGAUGCAGAAACAGCAGACGGAGUCCAGGGAAAGCAGUGCGGCAUCCCAGCCUCAGGCCUGCCCGUACGGUGUUCGGAAAUACUAGGCUUUAGAAUUUCACCAUAUGAAUUUUGGGAGAGAGGAGCACAGUUCAGCCCAUAACUAACACACGACGGAAUGAAGUUGAUAAUAGUGAGACCUUGUUGGUACAAGACUAUGUAACAUAACCUGCGCUUCUCAACAAAGAAUUGCUUUUCUGACUUCUGCACUCAAUAGCAAGACAAAUCUCUCCUCUGCCUUCUCCUUAUCAGACUACUCAACAUGAAGGCAAUAAGAAUGAAGACCUCUAUGUAUAAUAAUUGACUUCCACUUAAUAAAUACCUGAACAGAUGUUGAGUACAAGCUGAUCCACCUACGUUCAACCUGAGAGAGUCCACAUCCACAGACUGUUUCAUUUCCCUUUUUCAAUUUACAUAGAAGCAUAGAUUCUUGCUGGCAUAUACAAAUGCGCCAUUUAAGGCAAUCAAAAAUGGUUCCACAUCUCAUCUGAUUUCCACAAUUGUUGCUGUAACGAUGGACUACUGAGGAGAGAGACAAUUUCUCUGGCACAUCUUCCCACAUUUUAGCAACAUGUUCAUGGAGAGCCAAUAUUCAGUAAUUACAGCCCAAUUCCUCACAAUUUCACAAUUCGCUAACAAUAUGCAUUUUCACAAUGUAAAGCUGAUUUUCCUUUAACCAAAUCAAACAUGAAAAGAUAGCUGCAUGCAAUGGGCAAUCUAGAUCAUUAGAAGAUUGAUGUAAAAUUAGAGGACACUGAGACUGGAAUAGAUUGCAAACUUCAGGGAGCUCAGAAAACUUGUAAACUCUACAUUUUGAGGAAAUAUGUUGUCGAUGCUUUUGCAACUCUAUGCAGUAACUUAACAAAUAAAGCCUUAAAGUAACUUA